rnacentral:rRNA from 1 species
GACGAACGCUGGCGGCGUGCUUAACACAUGCAAGUCGAACGGAAAGGCUCCAGCUUGCUGGCGUACUCGAGUGGCGAACGGGUGAGUAACACGUGGGUAAUCUGCCCUGCACUCUGGGAUAAGCCUGGGAAACUGGGUCUAAUACUGGAUAUGACCUUUCUCCUUAUGGGGUUUGGUGUAAAGUUUUUCGGUGUAGGAUUAGCCCGCGGCCUAUCAGCUUGUUGGUGGGGUGAUGGCUUACCAAGGCGACGACGGGUAGCCGGCCUGAGAGGGUGAUCGGCCACAUUGGGACUGAGAUACGGCCCAGACUCCUACGGGAGGCAGCAGUGGGGAAUAUUGCACAAUGGGCGGAAGCCUGAUGCAGCGACGCCGCGUGAGGGAUGACGGCCUUCGGGUUGUAAACCUCUUUCAGCAGGGACGAAGCGUAAGUGACGGUACCUGCAGAAGAAGCACCGGCUAACUAUGUG